rnacentral:rRNA from 1 species
GGUUAAGUGACUAAGCGUACACGGUGGAUGCCUUGGCAGUCAGAGGCGAUGAAAGACGUAGUAACUUGCGAUAAGCCCAGAUUAGGUAGUAACAACCAUUUGAGUCUGGGAUUUCUGAAUGGGGAAACCCACGUGCAUAAGCACGUAUCCUUACCUGAAUACAUAGGGUAAGGAGGCGAACCGGGGGAACUGAAACAUCUAAGUACCCCGAGGAAAAGAAAUCAACCGAGAUUCCGAAAGUAGCGGCGAGCGAAAUUGGACUAGCCCUUAAGCUUUACACGCGUUAGACGAACGGUCUGGAAAGUCCGACGAUACAGGGUGAUAGUCCCGUAGUUGACGACGUGUGUUCAGUGAAAUCGAGUAGGGCGGGACACGUGAUAUCCUGUCUGAAUAUGGGGGGACCAUCCUCCAAGGCUAAAUACUACUGACUGACCGAUAGUGAACCAGUACCGUGAGGGAAAGGCGAAAAGAACCCCUGUGAGGGGAGUGAAAUAGAACCUGAAACCGUGUACGUACAAGCAGUAGGAGCAGGCUUUGUCCUGUGACUGCGUACCUUUUGUAUAAUGGGUCAGCGACUUAUAUUCAGUGGCAAGGUUAACCAUCUAGGGGAGCCGUAGGGAAACCGAGUCUUAACUGGGCGUUCAGUCUCUGGAUAUAGACCCGAAACCAGGUGAUCUAGCCAUGGGCAGGUUGAAGGUUGAGUAACAUCAACUGGAGGACCGAACCGACUAAUGUUGAAAAAUUAGCGGAUGACUUGUGGCUAGGGGUGAAAGGCCAAUCAAACCUGGAGAUAGCUGGUUCUCCCCGAAAGCUAUUUAGGUAGCGCCUCGGACGAAUACUACUGGGGGUAGAGCACUGUUAAGGCUAGGGGGUCAUCCCGACUUACCAACCCUUUGCAAACUCCGAAUACCAGUAAGUACUAUCCGGGAGACACACGGCGGGUGCUAACGUCCGUCGUGGAGAGGGAAACAACCCAGACCGCCAGCUAAGGUCCCAAAUUACUACUAAGUGGGAAACGAUGUGGGAAGGCUCAGACAGCCAGGAUGUUGGCUUAGAAGCAGCCAUCAUUUAAAGAAAGCGUAAUAGCUCACUGGUCGAGUCGGCCUGCGCGGAAGAUGUAACGGGGCUAAGUAGUAAACCGAAGCUGCGGCAAUGUGCUUUUGCACAUUGGGUAGGGGAGCGUUCUGUAAGCGGUUGAAGGUGUGUGGUAACGCAUGCUGGACGUAUCAGAAGUGCGAAUGCUGACAUGAGUAACGAUAAAGGGGGUGAAAAACCUCCUCGCCGGAAGACCAAGGGUUCCUGUCCAACGUUAAUCGGGGCAGGGUAAGUCGACCCCUAAGGCGAGGCCGAAAGGCGUAGUCGAUGGGAAACGGGUUAAUAUUCCCGUACUUCUUACAAUUGCGAUGGGGGGACGGAGAAGGCUAGGUGGGCCUGGCGACGGUUGUCCAGGUUCAAGUGCGUAGGCUUAAGAGUUAGGUAAAUCCGGCUCUUUUUAAGGCUGAGACACGACGUCGAGCACCUACGGGUGUGAAGUCAUUGAUGCCAUGCUUCCAGGAAAAGCCUCUAAGCUUCAGAUUGUAAGGAAUCGUACCCCAAACCGACACAGGUGGUCGGGUAGAGAAUACCAAGGCGCUUGAGAGAACUCGGGUGAAGGAACUAGGCAAAAUGGUACCGUAACUUCGGGAGAAGGUACGCUCUCGACGGUGAAGUCCCUUGCGGAUGGAGCUAUUGAGAGUCGCAGAUACCAGGUGGCUGCAACUGUUUAUUAAAAACACAGCACUGUGCAAAAUCGUAAGAUGACGUAUACGGUGUGACGCCUGCCCGGUGCCGGAAGGUUAAUUGAUGGGGUUAGACUUCGGUCGAAGCUCUUGAUCGAAGCCCCGGUAAACGGCGGCCGUAACUAUAACGGUCCUAAGGUAGCGAAAUUCCUUGUCGGGUAAGUUCCGACCUGCACGAAUGGCGUAAUGAUGGCCACGCUGUCUCCACCCGAGACUCAGUGAAAUUGAAAUCGCUGUGAAGAUGCAGUGUACCCGCGGCUAGACGGAAAGACCCCGUGAACCUUUACUACAGCUUGGCACUGAACAUUGACCCUACAUGUGUAGGAUAGGUGGGAGGCUUUGAAGCACGUACGCCAGUAUGUGUGGAGCCGUCCUUGAAAUACCACCCUUGUAGUGUUGAUGUUCUAACGUCGACCCCUUAUCGGGGUUGCGGACAGUGCCUGGUGGGUAGUUUGACUGGGGCGGUCUCCUCCCAAAGAGUAACGGAGGAGCACGAAGGUGGGCUAAUCACGGUUGGACAUCGUGAGGUUAGUGCAAUGGCAUAAGCCCGCUUGACUGCGAGAAUGACAAUUCGAGCAGGUGCGAAAGCAGGUCAUAGUGAUCCGGUGGUUCUGAAUGGAAGGGCCAUCGCUCAACGGAUAAAAGGUACUCCGGGGAUAACAGGCUGAUACCGCCCAAGAGUUCAUAUCGACGGCGGUGUUUGGCACCUCGAUGUCGGCUCAUCACAUCCUGGGGCUGAAGUCGGUCCCAAGGGUAUGGCUGUUCGCCAUUUAAAGUGGUACGCGAGCUGGGUUUAGAACGUCGUGAGACAGUUCGGUCCCUAUCUGCCGUGGGCGUUGGAAGAUUGAAGGGGGCUGCUCCUAGUACGAGAGGACCGGAGUGGACGAACCUCUGGUGUUCGGGUUGUGUCGCCAGACGCAUUGCCCGGUAGCUAAGUUCGGAAUCGAUAACCGCUGAAAGCAUCUAAGCGGGAAGCGAGCCCUGAGAUGAGUCUUCCCUGAUACUUUAAGUAUCCUAAAGGGUUGUCGGAGACUACGACGUUGAUAGGUCAGGUGUGUAAGUGCUGUGAGGCAUUGAGCUAACUGAUACUAAUUGCCCGUGAGGCUUAACCAU